rnacentral:misc_RNA from 1 species
AAAAAUAAAGGAGGUGGGUGGUUUUUUGUUCGUUGUUUUUGUAUUUAUUGUAUUGUUUUUUGUGGUUGUCGUAGGAAGAAGGAAGAAAGGUGUGAGUUUGGUGUUUAGGUGAUAGAUAAGAUUGUAUUUUAUAGAUUUUAAGAUAUUAUCGAUUGUGAGUAGAAUUAUUAUUUUAUAUGUUAGUAAAAAAGGUUAUUUUUUAAUUAUAAGAAGUUAUU